rnacentral:rRNA from 1 species
GACGAACGCUGGCGGCGUGCCUAAUACAUGCAAGUUGAGCGCUGAAGGUUGGUACUUGUACCGACUGGAUGAGCAGCGAACGGGUGAGUAACGCGUGGGGAAUCUGCCUUUGAGCGGGGGACAACAUCUGGAAACGAAUGCUAAUACCGCAUAAAAACUUUAAACACAAGUUUUAAGAUUGAAAGAUGCAAUUGCAUCACCCAAAGAUGAUCCCGCGUUGUAUUAGCUAGGUGGGGAGGUAAAGGCGCACCAAGGCGAUGAUACAUAACCGACCUGAGAGGGUGGACGGCCACAAUGGGACUGGGACACGGCCCAAACCCCUACGGGAGGCAGCAGGAGGGAAUCUUCGGCAAUGGACGAAAGUCUGACCGAGCAACGCCGCGUGAGUGGAGAAGGGUUUCGGAUCGUAAAACUCUGUUGGUAGAGGAGAACGUUGGUGGGAAUGAAAAGCUCAUCAAGUGACGGUACCUACCCAGAAAGGGACGGCUAACUACGUG